rnacentral:rRNA from 1 species
UACGAAGGGGGCUAGCGUUGUUCGGAAUUACUGGGCGUAAAGCGCACGUAGGCGGGUUGUUAAGUCAGGGGUGAAAUCCUGGAGCUCAACUCCAGAACUGCCUUUGAUACUGGCAACCUAGAGACUGGAAGAGGUUAGUGGAAUUCCCAGUGUAGAGGUGAAAUUCGUAGAUAUUGGGAAGAACACCGGUGGCGAAGGCGGCUCACUGGCUCAUUACUGACGCUCAGGCGCGAUAGCGUGGGAGUCAAACAGGAUUAGAUAC